rfam:Felis catus isolate Cinnamon breed Abyssinian chromosome F1, whole genome shotgun sequence.
GCCUGGGUGGCUCAGUCGGUUAAGCAUCUGACUUUGGCUCAGGUCAUGGUCUCGCAAUUUGUGGGUUUGUGCCCCGCAUCGGGCU